AUACGGAGGAUGCGAGCGUUAUCCGGAUUUAUUGGGUUUAAAGGGAGCGUAGGUGGGAUAUUAAGUCAGCUGUGAAAGUUUGGGGCUCAACCUUAAAAUUGCAGUUGAUACUGGUUUCCUUGAGUACGGUACAGGUGGGCGGAAUUCGUGGUGUAGCGGUGAAAUGCUUAGAUAUCACGAAGAACUCCGAUCGCGAAGGCAGCUCACCGGGCCGGAACUGACACUGAUGCUCGAAAGUGCGGGUAUCAAACAGGAUUAGAUACCCUGGUAGUCCGCACAGUAAACGAUGAAUACUCGCUGUUUGCGAUACACGGUAAGCGGCCAAGCGAAAGCGUUAAGUAUUCCACCCGGGGAGUACGCCGGCAACGGUGAAACUCAAAUGAAUUGACGGGG
rnacentral:rRNA from 1 species